AACCUAGCGGAGACCCGUUGGCACCCCAGAGGUGCUCAGUGAAUGUCGCUUGAUGCGUAAUGUCAGGUUGGAGACACCUUUGGGUUCUUCAGGUCGGCCUUGUUCUAGGGGUCACCGACUAUUAGAACAGCCUCCCCGUGGGCAGCCCACGGUCGUGUUGCCACUUGGCGUCCACCCGUGCCAGCUACCCGUGCUCUUCCUAGAACACACCUCCAUGCUUCCCUCAGGCCCUGCAUCAGGGUUGCUGUGGUCAGGCCAGUGCAUCUGAGUUUCAGGCAUUUGACAGAUGCAGAGACUCGUGGGCCUCACCUCAGAGCAUCUCAUAAUUCGAGAUCCGGAUGAGAUGGACUCCUUAUACAUAGUUCAAACCAGUGAUUUCCAACUCCUGGCAUGCAUUAUAUUUACCCACACACUUGAUCCCGGCCACUUACGAGGCACUUUUCAUUGCAUGUGAACAUGGCUUCUGCUCACUUGGUGUGGCCAAGCCUGGCUGCCUAAAGCUGACCUUGAGAACCUUCCUCUGGCCAGGGAGCCAUUUCUACAUGUCACUGAGUAGCCUUGCCAGUGCUGGUCUGAAGAGCCCACUGACGCUCUGUGUAUGCUCAGCCCUCAGCAGCUAUGUGGCUUUGAGGCAACAGGAUGGCAUAGCUUGGGCAGGUCAGACCAGAGAAGACUGGUAGGAUUGUACCCUAUGCCCCACCCCUCUGUAGAGGGGGCCACCCUGGUGUCCUGGGCACUGGAGAAAACGUGGUCAGUGGUGUCUCCUUGUCAUUUCCGAGAGGGGACUGUUCACAUCAGGAUGUUUUAUGGGAAUGGUUGCAUCCAUUGCUGUGGAUAAGGGUCAGUAACUGGUCACCUCGGCUUGGCUGUAAAGACUCCACUGGCUCCUAUAUGACAGACUAAGGGACUCUGAAAAACCUUCCUGCUUCAAACACCUGCCAAUGAUAAAGAGUUAAAUGGGUAAUGAUUUCUCAAAAAUUUCCAGAUAGUGGAGGAGACAGUGAACAUGGAAGCCUGAGCUUAAAGUGGCCCUGGGGUGGUUAUCAGUCCCUUAUGAAUCAGAUGGUGGGGGCCCCAAACCUCUUUGGAUUUGGAGGGAUGGGUUGACCUGCUCUGGGGGAAGAGUUGGAACCAGAACCUCUGCCUAAAGCCAGAUUCCCUCCCCCGGCCCCAGUGAAAUGAGAGCCAAGGGAAAAUUGUACCAGCCCGGGGAGGGGAAGGGUUCAUCUUUCUGGACUCAAAAUCAAAACCCUAGGCCUGCACCUCACAGAUCCGUGGUCUGAGAACUUGUAGAAGAUUCCUAGCCCCAACCCACUGCAUGUGAUCCCAUGGGUGGGGCUCAGUCAUAAAUGACAGCAUGUGAUGGAACAAUGGGUACAAAAAUCUUUAGAAUUUAUGGCUAGGAAGAUAAGAAUAUGUGAUCCAAGGGGAAAAUGAACCCAAACCUGCAAAACGGUACUAUACAGGUGUUUAAAAAGAACCCCCUAGGAUUUCUACAACCCAGCAGCCACUGGGAUUGCAACUUGCUUGGUUAAGAUUAAUCGCAGCUGAAGAGAGUGGUUUGGAAACAUCUGUCUGAAGAAAUUGUCCAAAAGUACAUGGGAAAGGACAGGAGAGAUGAAGGUGCCAUGGGAGUGUGUGUUAUUUCGAAGGGAAGUUGGACAGACAAUGAGGUGACGUAAUUUUCCAAAAUCGAUGACCUUGGAAAGACCAAGGAAGCCAGAUGUGAGAAUGUGCCCUGUCUAACCCCCACGCCGCCCCAUUAUCCAGGCAGGGCCACCAGGCUGAGGGGCUGGCGUCCAGCGUAGUCCAGGCAGGUGGAAUCUGUCCACAGCAGCCUGGGGACAGACAAGGCGAGGAGACAGGCCCAGAUGGUAGCAGGUGAAAAGAACCAGGCGGGAGAGACUGGUUCUGGCCAUAGGCUGAUGUGUGGACAUCAGGUCCUAGUUUGGGGUGAGUAAGCCUUGCUGGCCAUAGCCUACCUGACCUGAGAGUUUAAAGGAUCAGCCACAGGCUCCCUGUGAAAUGGGGAAGCCUCUUUCUGUACUGCUCUGAUUGGACAGAGGUGGGAGAGGGGCUGCUGUCUCUCUGGCUUUGACAAGAUGGUGUCUGCUUCGGGAGUGGGUAGGGCUUUAGAAAGGCAUGCUCUGUCCCCAGAGGCCACUGACUGAUCCCUGUUGCCCACUCUCAAAAGUUCCCUGGUCACAGCCACUGGGAUUCCAGACUCUAAGCAACGAGGACCCGGAUCCUGCCUGCUAGAGCCAGGCUCAGGACUUGGGUUGAGUCUGAGGGUGGGGGAGGCCUGUUCUACCCGCUGGCGUUGGUGUUUAGGGAACAGAACGCCACCUGCAGCCACAAAGGGAGGCCUGUCUGGAAAGGGGGUCCAUACACGAGGACAGGAGAGCUGACCUACAAAGAAAUGGGGUCCUCACGACUUUGUUUUCUAGAUCCAGCUGUGCCUAAAUUCCACACUCCAGACUUUUCACUUAAAUAAGCCAAUAAAUUCCUAAUAGAAUCAGGCUGAAGUUCCUACCGCAUGCCACAAAGAGUUAAACCGGAAGGGGCCCCACAGCUGGGAGUUUAUCUGGUCCUCAGUCACCCUGGGACAGGCAGAUAAUUAGCCCCAUUGUACAGAUGUGGCCGAGAGGCUCAGGGAGGUCACAGUGCCUUGCCAAGGACCUUGCAGAAAAACGGUGGGUACUCAGGACUAGAAUUCAGGUGUGCCGGCCCCAUGGCCACAGUCUUGUCCCUUUCCCACAUCCCCUCCUUGAUGCGAGAACAGGGACCCCGGGCCUGGCUCCCCUGUGUGCCAACUGCGGUGGGGAGGCUGCGCUCUGCUGUGUCCCUGUUGCUGUGGCCAUGUGGCCUCACUGGGCAACAGCCUCUCCUAUUGUCUGUACUCAGGCUUCAGAUCUGGGGACACACUUCCCCUUUGCUUCUGCCUAAGACUCCCAAGUAAGGUCGCAGGCCUGUGACAGGCCACACACUCCUGGGAAGGCUGAGGAGAGAGCUGGGAUCCAAGGUUUAGUAACGGGCUGGGUGGUGGAAUAUGGAGGGUUCCAGCUGUUUCUAGAUAGUGCCUGGAGCAACAGCUGCCUUCCCGACCCUCCUGCAGGCCCCUCCCACUUGCUCCCCGAGGACCCAGCUGAGCUGGGACUUGCCAGCAAGACUGAUGACUCCCGGUGGCUGAGCUGCAUUUCCUCACCCCAGAAAGCCCCUUGGCUCCUGUCAGGGCAGGGACAGUGGCAGCAAAGGCUGGCUCUAGGAACUAUCAGCGUGAGAAGUGGGUGACUAGUGCCGGCAUGUUUUUUUAAGCAGCUUUCUUGAGGUAAUUUACAUACCAUUUCAUUCACCCAUUUAAAAUGUGCAAUUCAGUGGUUUUUAAUAUAUUCGCAGGGUUGUGGAGUGACCAUCACCAGUCAGCUUGGAACACCCUCACUCCACAGAGAGACUCACACCCCUAAGGCUCCCUCCCUCUCUCUCUCAUACCCACCCCCGCGCCCCCGGCCGCUGGCAACCACUGAGAGUUGUUCUGUCUCCAUAGAUUUGAUUUGGCACUGUUUUGAGGCAAUAAAUAGAAGUUACUAAUGGAAAAGGCACUGGAUUUUAUUUCUAAAAUAUUAUGUAGAAUGUUAGAGGCAGCAAAGGGGACGGUUUUGCCUCGGUUUUGUCUCUCAGAGAGAGAUUUGAUUAAUGUUUCAGAAAGCUUUUUCCCUUGGCAUAUUAGAAAAACAUUUUGCAUUAAAAAGGAUUCGAGACAUUGCCUAGAGGGGGACUCUGCCUACUGACAGCUGGUGAGGUGGCCGGUAGACAUCAUUCUUUCCUUCCUGAUGGUCAAACAUUAACCCAGCUGGCCCUCUGAGCUGGGGGUGGGGCAGAAGGAAGGCCUGGGGUCAGAUUCAGCCCACAGCCGGUUCUCCUACAGACUCCAAGCUAAGAAUGUUUUAAAAUAUAGCAGAAGAAUCAUAAUAUUUUGUGACACGUAGACAUUAUAUGAAACCCACAUUUCAGUGCUGUUAAAAAAAAACUCAACUGAGUCAAUUUGAAGAUCUAAUUGGCUUUAUUCAACCAUUCAUUAUUGGGGCAGCAUCCUAUCUAGCAAAGAGAAUCUCCUAGGAGCUGUACAAAAGCCAGGGUUUUUACAGGCAGAAAGAGGGUGGGACAAGGAAGUUAAAAGAGUGGAUUAUUUCUGGAAUGGACACCUGCCCUCAGGGGAAGGCAGAGGAUCCUAUCAGGGGCUUAGUCACUGGUGCUCACCAGCAAAUUCCACCCUGGUUGAUUCAAAAUCCCUCCCUAGGGAGAGGCUGAAACUGUAAGCCAGGGGUUAGGUCUCGGCGGGACCGCGAGACUCUGUUUUGGGCCUGUCCUGUCUUGCCUUCGUAGUGCCCGUGGGUAGUUUCACGGGCACACGGCUUUCCUCUGUCGUCCAUGGUUGCUUCGGUGUGGCCUCGGCAGGGCUGAGUUGUGGCACAGAGGCCAUGUUCUAUCUGCAUGUAUGAUCAUUUCUGCGUGGACCGUUCCGAACAGCAUUCGAGGGCCUGAAAGUGAAGCACGACCCGGCCUUGAAGAGUCCAUGGUCAAGUCAGGAGGCGGGAAAGUCGUAGGUGGUCCAGCACGGCGGUCUGGGGCCAGCAGUGCCCACUUAGUGACUGUGUUCGCUUGCUAGGGCCGCCAUGACGAGCCACCCCAGGUUGUGGAGCUUAAACCACAGGAAUCUAUUUUCUCACAGCUCUGGAGGCUGAAGUCCGAGGCCAAGGUGUUGGCAGGGCUGAUUUCUCCUGAGGCCUCUUUCCUUGGCGUGUGGAUGGCUGUCUUCUCUGUCCUCACCAGGUUGUCCCUCUGUGUGUCCGUGUCCUAGUCUGUGUCCUAAUCGCAGGUAAGGACGCCAGCCAGAUUGGAUUAAGGCUCGCCCAUAUUUAACUUUCAUCAUCUCUUUAAAGACCCUCUCUCUAAAAUCAGUCACAUUCUGAGGUAUUGGGGGUUGGGACUUCAGCAUAUGCAUUUGGGGAGGAUUCAAUUAAAUCCAUCUCACUGAGCUGGUUGAUAAAUAUAACCAUCCUUAAAAAUUAAAUGACAUAAGCUUACAGUUGAAUAAGUUAACAUUAAAGACAAGUAUAAUAAAUACUCAAAAAUCUUCUUUACUACAUGUUACUAUUACCUGUGCUCCUGAAGCUGUUUGUACCUGUUCUGUCUCUGUGGCGGAAAUAACUGUAUAACGUGUGUUAUUGAGAAUCUCUCUCCAAUUCCAUGACGUUGCCUCGGUAGCUCAGAAUCAGCUUUGGUGGGAGUGUUUAUACCGUGGAGAUUGGUAAAUGCUACAAUUCAGGGUCCCCCCCCCCCCGCCGGAGAGCUGGUUGUUAAACGUUUACCAGCACACACCACGGAUGCAGGGUGUUCGGGGCUGAGGCAGAGGCCAGCCUGGCACCAUGAGGGCCACUGAGGAGGAUGCCAGGCCCUGGGGAGUAAGCAAGGGUUUUGCAGACCAGGGAUGCCGGUUGGCACCUUGGAACGUGAGUAAAGGUUGGCCAGAUAUGGAGGAAGAGGGGGCGACGUGGGUUUGCAAAGCCCCGAGGCAGGAGGGGGCACCCUGUGUCUGGGGAUGGUGUGGGUGACGGCAGCUUCGUGCACCGGCCGCCAGUGGGAGAGGAGCUGUGACGGGAAGGUGGGCAGGGCCUGCAGCACCAUGGGAUGGAGGUUCUUCUUGAUCUGGCAGUCACGGGGAGCCACAGAGGGUGUUGGAGCCAGAGGGGGAGGGACAGGGUGGUGUGGGUGGUCCCUGGCUGUGGGUGGGGCUCGCGGUUGGGCCUGUGCGUGGAGUGGGUGCGAGGGCCCUGUGACCAGCUUUCUCUGUGGCCUCUGCGGGCGGCAGGUUCUCGGUGGGUGCUCGCUGAAUGGCCGACUCAUCCCAUCCGUUUUGGGGUCUGUAACAGGGGCUCAGCCGUCCACCUCCAGUUCGGGCUGGAGCUGGCGAUCGCUACAUGUCACGCAGAAGGGAAGUGGCCGAGUAGAUCGUGGGGCCCCCCACCUGGACUACUCACCGGGCAUCGUAGGCGGCCCGCAGGAAGGUCACGUCGCAGCGAGGAGAGCUGCCGGCGGAAGAAUGGCACCUGGGACGGCAGGGCAGGUGCCGUGUGCCGUGGUCGCGCCGACGUGGCAGCUCGUGCACGCCUGGAUCAAGACGGGCGGCGUCACGUCACGAAAGGAGAGGCGAGAGCUGUGUCUCGGGGUGGCGGGCUGAGAGCAGUUUUUCUUUCCGUUCUGUUGUUCCGUGUUCGGUGUCCCUGUCACAGACAUCGGAGAGCAGUUGCAGCAGCUGAGGGCAGCACCCGUGUGGGCAGAUGGCCCCCGGAGGCCUUCGAGGCAGAGGGAACCUGGAGGCCGGGCAGGUCUGGAGUUUGGGUGGGGAGGGGGGAUUCGGGGCUCCUCUCCUCUGCAGGUCAGAGACUCUUGGUGCCUAAUGGAUGCCGCCAAGUCCCCUCACUGUGUACAGGCUCUGCCAGGGGCUCCGAGGGGUCACGUCUGCAGGUGGCAGAGCCAGACUUCACCUGGGGUGUCGGGCCCUCAGUCUCCUACCCCCAACGGGUCCUCUUUGGAACUUCAGAGAGUUAGUGCCACCAAGCCACACACAGUGACUCUCGCCUUGGGCUGCGCGAGGAUGAGGUCCCUGGUAUGACUGUGGCCUCUUGGGGGAGACUGUCAACGCUUGUGAGCAGGACCCAGGUCCUCCUUUCGCACCCCUAGUCACUGCCAACGGAGGCCCCGGACAGGGAUAAAUCCUUCUGCCUGACUGAAUGGAGGGAGCCUGGUGCCGAGAGAGCGUGCAGUAAAGGGUCACCUGUUCCAAGGUCACAGGAAGGAGGGUGCUGCGCGGACGAGAAGCAGAGCGGACGAAGGCCAGGCCCUCGUGGAGGCUGCGACACAGAACACAGCCCCCUAAGGCGGUGACAGUGCUGGAGGAAAUGCAGGCGCGGACGCGGUCUCUCACACGCGCCCUCACACCUCAGUCCCCGCUGUCUGGCUUCCUCGCUGACCUCGCACUGACCCUGUGUCCCCAGGAGGCGGACUUUUGCUUUCAUUUCACCGUUCAUGGUUCUGAGCGCUUUUCACACGCCGGCUCGCUCAUCGCUCAUCGCUCAUCGCUCAUCACCAUAGCCCUUCACGGGGAAGGGACUGAGGCUCAGAGCCGGUCUCAGCCCCAAGGUCAUGUUUCCUAGGCGCCUCCCCAGACCCACAGGGGCUGGAUUAGGGGUCCCUUUUGCUCCCAUGGCCUCUGGCAAUGCCUGCUCCAAGGGAUCAUCGUACAGAAUCAUACAUGUCUGUCACUUUUCUGACAACACCCCCCCCCCGCCGCCACUGUGAGUCCCCUGAGGUGAGGGAUGGGGUCCGCUGUCCUGUGUCUUCAGCCAGCGUCUGGCACAGGCAUGGCCCUCCGGGUUCUCUCGAUAAAUGUUUAGUGAGUGAGCGAAUGAGCAGGUGGGCCCUGGCCGCUGAGGAGUGCUGGGUAAGUGGGGUUCGCUUCCUCAACCCGCUUUCCCCCCUGCUCUCCCUGCCCCGUCCUGCGAGUGGCCGCAGGUGCUAAACUGAAUGUGACGUCCAUCCGGCCACCGCUGCUCACUCCCGAGGCCUGCAGACCGUCCCCUAACUGCGAGCAGCAGGCCUCUGGGGGCCGGGACCUGUACCGGAGGCGGAAUCCUCAGGCACGCCGGCUCUUCCUUCCACAAGCGAUCCCAAGUGUCCCCAGCGUCCCCAAGCUCUGGGCCAGGCUCCCUCCCAAAGACUCAGAGAGGACAGAGAGCACCCGGCUCCCACGGCAUCUCCUUGCCUUCUGCCAAGGUCAGGGACGAGGGCUCGCAGCCACUUGCUAAUGCACGAUUUAUUUUUUUCCCUCGUUUUCUUUGGAACCUGUGCUUGUCCAGAUGUUCACCUAAUGUGGUAGGAAAUGAGCUUUACGAAGCCGUGGGCAGAGCACCAUUUGGCAUUCCCAUGGUUCUAGAGAGUUCUGGGGACUUGGGGCUGUGGCUGGAGCGGCUACCUUCUCAUGCUUUCAGCUCUCGAGCCCAGCAGCUUCCUCGUCCCCAAACAUGCAAGGGACCUUACGGUUCUGGCCCUUCGUGAGCCUAACAAGCUGUUCUGGCGUGUAGGUGGAAUUCCUAUUUUUAAUAGCCAAGUUGUUGAGAAAUUGUAGGGCUUCUGCUUCCUUCUGAACGAAGGCUUCCGGAAAUAGUCAUAUCUUUGCUGCUACAGAACCCGGGAAGUCAUCUUAGCUCAGAGGUCAGUGGGCGGAGCGUGACCACCGAGGCAGUGGCCCCAGCGACCUCGCACACUGCUCGCUUAGUCGUGCUCUCGGUAGACUGAGCGCAGGGGGACUUGCUCGGCCUGCACCACGCUGGUCUCUAGUGGGGGACGAGGAUGGACAAGGGCCAGGUCGUGAAGGACAGUCAGUGCCAUACCGUGGGAUCCGAACUCUGUCCCCAAACCCUCACUGAGUUUGAGCUGGGGGUGACGUGAUCAGAGGUGCAUGUCAGAAGGGUCUGGGGCAGUGGACUGGAGCUGCAUCCGUCACUCCGUCAUUCAUUUUGCAGAGACCUCGUGUUCACCCUCACAGCCAAAGUGUCAUGAUGCAGCCGUCACUGAUGCCAUUCCGGUCCGUUUUCUAGUCUGUUCCGUUUCAUUCAUUUUUCUAGAAAUGCUGUUAGCAGCCCUCUCUGUUGACGUGCAGUCUCCCUGAACAUUUCUGAUCUGCAGUUGGAACAGUGCUGGAUUGGAGUCAGGGACAUGGAGGCAGAGGCCAUCGUUACCGCCCGGGGCACGGGGCGCUGGUCCCCGCAGCAGACAGAGCAAAGGUGCCCUCGCAGCAGGCAUCGGCCCCCAGGGCUGUGUGUGCCCCUCGGAUCUUUAGGUUCAGCAUAUUCCCCUCAGAGACACGGGGCCGCUCCCGAAGCAACAGGAGGGACUGUUGUCGCCAGUCGUGUUGGGGGCGGGGGAUCCAGAGGCUGUGGUUUCAUAACUCGAGCCACUGCCGCGUGGGGACCGAAAGCCAUUUCAUUAAAUGUCGCAUGGAAUCAAAAUAGAAAUGUCAUCUUCGGGACAGAGCCCAUUGAGCCGAGAGGCAGGCAUUCUGCGUUGGAAUUAGAAGAGUCUCGCGCGAGCUGGAACUGGACCCGAGGCGGCCCUGUCUACACGGCCAGCCUCCCUGGCUCUGACUCUGGUGCUGCAGCCUCUCCCUCGGGCUCGAGACCGAAUCCCCAGGGGUGGCAGGUGGCCCUGGUACCCGGUUCGCUUGUGGGAAUCAGAGGGAGGCAGGGGGGCAUGGUUACUAACGCCAGUCCCUCCUUGCCACACCACCAAGGUAGCCGCACCGAGCUGCAUCGUUGCAUCUGUUAUCGGGGAUCCCCACCCACCUUCUGGGAGGGACACUUCCUGUAUUUGAGAGCACUGAGGCUCAGAGAGGUCACACAGCUGGUGAGAGGCAGAGCUGGGGUUUGAAGUCCAGACUGGCUCCCACGCUCACCUUGCCGCUCUGUCUCCUGGUUUUCGUAACCGGCUGACCGAGCACUGGAUGGGGGAGGAGCUCGGGCCCCCGCCUGCUUAGAGCUCUUGGGAUGCUGCUGCAGCAGGUAGGGGAGGGGUGCGAGUGUCCUCCGUGUCUGCCCCCUCACCUCCCCAGUCUCCGCCAGGUGGUCCAUUCAUUCAGCCAGCAUGUGACAAGGGUCCUCUGGUGGCCUGGAAGCCCUGUGAGCUCCAGCCCCAUCCCCCUCCACUAUCUCUGCCCCCAGUCUGUUGCAGGAAGCACCAGCUGACGGAGGAAUUCAGAGGCUCAGACAGCUUCGUUAGAGGAAGGAGAAUUUAUUGCCGGCAGAGCACGUGAGGCUUUCAACAGCACGAAAGCUAGAUUCCUUACAGCUUAUAUACCUCUGCUGCGUCCAUGCGAGGGGUGCGAUUCCUUUGUCUGAGGGUCUACGGGCACCUCCUGACUCGGGUGGGGGCUGCAAGGGGGAAGGACUUCCUGGACCACCAGUCCUGUCUCUUUACAGAUCCUUUCUCUUGUAGGUGGGACAGAAGUUUCCAGAAGGUCGUUCAGAGAUCUAUAGGAUGUGGUUAAUCCGUAACCGGCGGAGUCGGUCAUUUCUGUUCGCCCUCCCCCUUGCAUUCCUCACAUGCCUCCUGUCUUAAGUCUGCAUUUGGCUUUGGGCUGCUUCUGGGACUCGUGAGUUAGAAGAAUUUUCCUCGCCCAGGAUGGUAGCUUUUUCUCUCCAUUUUGUCAUCCAUUUUUAGUUUGAUCGCAUAGUGAUUAGAGAAUGUUGUUUCAUUAUUUCCGCUUUGGGAAUUUAUUGAGAUUUCCUCCUUGUUAUGUUGGGGUGAUUAUUCCCCGCCCCCAGCUCUAUUAAGGUGUAAGUGACGUCUCGUAGGCUGUGCAUAUUUGAUGUAUACUAUUUAAUGAGUUUUGACAUAUGUGUCUACCCAUGAAACCAGUCGAGCUAAUGACCGUCUCCAUCACCAGAGUUUCCACACGUCCCUUCGCCAUUUCUCCCUCCGCCGCCCCAUCCCCAGGCAGCCACUGAUCUGCUUUCUGACACUAUAGGUUAGUUUGCAUUUUCUGGAAAAUUAUAUAAACAGAACCUUAGAGUAUGAUUUGUUUUUUGUCUGGCUUCUUUCGCUUAUAAUCAUUUUGAAAUUCAUCCAGUUGUGUGUAACCAGGGUCCGUUCCUUUUGAUUGCUGCGUAGUAUUCCACUGUAUGGACGUACCACAGUCACUUAUCCAUUCCCCAUGUUGGAAGUUUGGAUUGCUUCCCCUCUUGGUCUAUUAGAAGCAAAGCUGCCGUGACCAUUCGCGUAGAAGUCUCUUAUGGGCAUGAGCUUUCAUUCCUCUCAGGGAAAUACCAGAAUGGCUGGGAAUAUGGUAGGCAUACGUUUAACUGUUCAAGAAACUGCCAAACUGUUUUCCCAAGUGACUGCCCGCUGCGCAUGCCCAUGAGCACGGGGGAGCAUCGUGAACGUGCUGGAUACUUUGCCUCCUGGUGUGGCCAGUCUUUCCUGGUGGGGGCCUCGUGUACCCCUGUGGUUUUAAUUUACAUUUCACUAAUGACCGAAGGCUUUGAGCAUCUUCGCAUGUGCUUAUUUCCCAUACGUAGCUCUUCUUCGGUUAAUUGUCAGUUCAAAUCCUUUGUGCAAUCCAGGUGUAAGGAUUCUUUACACAUUCAAGAUACAAGUCCUUCGUUAGACACAUGAACUGUAAAUCUGUAAAUAUAUUCUUCAGUUCGUGCCUUCCCUUUUCAUUUUCUUCACAGUGUCUUGAAAAUCAAAGGUUUUUAAUUUUGGUGAAAUUCAAUUUUUUGGUUUUUUUCUUUUAUAGUGUGUGUGUGUGUGUCCUGUUUAGGAAAUCCUUCACAACUCUGAGAUCAUGAGCAUCUCUUCUGUGUUUUCUUCUAGAAGCUUGGUAGUCCUCGCUCUUACGUUAAUUGUCGUGUAUGCAGUGAGGGAGGGUUGUGGCUUAUUUUUCACACGUGACUCUCUCUUUUUGAGGUGGUUUCUGAAAGGGACCCGCCAUCUCCUCUGCCGUGUUUGGGCUGUGAGGCCCUGCUCCACUGGGGUUUCUUUAAUUGGCAAGUUUACAUUCUCCAACAGGGUGGACGAGCCUUGUGAAAAUGGCAAGACGAAUCACAGGGAAAUAAGUAAACGAAGCGUUUUGUGUG